AACAGCCGAGUAGAUUUGCUUCCACUGCGUUCCCCACGGGGGACCAUGAUGCGUUGAUUCAACGGCUGAAAGUGAAGAAGAAAAUUCCUGUACCCAUGUACUAAAUUCAGCGGCCACCUGCGCUUUUGUACAUGGAGACAGAAUGGAUAUUUUGCUGCGAUUUGGUGUGAAGUUGCUGGAUUCAGUAGUGAACUUGAGGAAGAUGAAAGCAAAUGGUGUAAGUCCAAUUUACUUGCUGAAAUUUGUUCAAUGUGAUCACUUGAGAAGCAGGUUUGACUUUGAAUGACAAGCUCCUAUUGGUUAGUUGAAUUUAGAGCUUUUUUUCCUUUAGUGUAAGCGCCUAUGGUUGAACCUGAAAGAGAUAAGUCUUCAUUCUUCUCUGUUUCUUC